GUAAAUUAUAUUUAUUUUUGAAAAAAAAUUAUAAAGUAAAUUGUAAUAGAAGUUAAAAAAAGGGACAACUUCAAAUAUCACCAAUAUGGUUUCGCACUUUCUUAUUUUAGUGGCUUGGAGUUUAAAGUGUGUCAAUUUAGUAUCAUGUGUUUUUCUUUUUAUCCUUUUAUUAUCGAUUCCACAAAUUUUUUUCGUUAAAUUAGUGACAAAAUUUAAACUAAAGGGUACUAAAGUGAAUGUUUGAUAAACCUAGGUGGGGUAUCUGAAGUUUUUUUUGUAUAUAAUUUAAUGAAAUAUUAACGAAAAAGCUGACGAAAAAAUAAAAAUAAAACCACAGAACACUAAUUUUAUACACUUUAAACCAUAAAGUACUAAAAUAAGAAAGUAUGAAACAACAGGCGUGGUAUUUGAAGUUUACCCUUAAAAAAAUUACUUUAACUGCUAAAAUUUGUAAUAUUUUAAUUUCUUAAGCUUCAAAUUGCCUAUUAUGAUGUAGCUUUUUUUAACUUUGUCAUUCUACGGUUCAAAAAAUUUCAUUUUGCCCUCCUUA
rnacentral:lncRNA from 1 species